rnacentral:rRNA from 1 species
GACGAACGCUGGCGGCGUGCUUAACACAUGCAAGUCGAGCGGAAAGGCCACUUCGGUGGUACUCGAGCGGCGAACGGGUGAGUAACACGUGAGUAAUCUGCCCCUCACUUUGGGAUAGCCACCGGAAACGGUGAUUAAUACCGGAUAUGACCAUAUGUCGCAUGGCGUGUGGUGGAAAGUUUUUCGGUGAGGGAUGUGCUCGCGGCCUAUCAGCUUGAUGGUGAGGUAAUGGCUCACCAUGGCUUCGACGGGUAGCCGGCCUGAGAGGGUGACCGGUCGCACUGGGACUGAGACACGGCCCAGACUCCUACGGGAGGCAGCAGUGGGGAAUAUUGGACAAUGGGCGGAAGCCUGAUCCAGCAACGCCGCGUGAGGGAUGACGGCCUUCGGGUUGUAAACCUCUUUCAGUACCGACGAAGCGCAAGUGACGGUAGGUACAGAAGAAGCACCGGCCAACUACGUG